rnacentral:misc_RNA from 1 species
AAGUCGUAACAAGGUUUCCGUAGGUGAACCUGCGGAAGGAUCAUUACCAAUAAAUAUAAUCUUUCAACCCAUGUGCACAGUGUAUCGUCUUGGUUUUUGGGGUGUGAGGGCUUUUACAGUUCCCCACCCCAACCAUUUUGAUUAACAUCUGUUUUAUAAUUGUCAUGGAAUUACAAAAUUUGUCUUAAUAAUGACAACUUUUAACGGUGGAUCUCUUGGCUCGUGGAUC